UGUGUUCAUAGUAGUGCUCUUAUUUUCCUCAAACUUUUACUCAAAAGUAACCUUCUGGCCGAGUCCUUCCAUGGCCACCUUAUCUAAAAGUCAUCCCUCCUUUUUUCUUCAGUAUACUAUACCCCCUUUCUUUGUCUUACUUUCUUUUUCUUAGCAUUAUCACUAUCCUGUAAACUAUAUUUAACUUAUUUAUUUUCUUUAUUGUUUAUCUCUCUUUCUAUGAUGUAAUUUUCAGCAGACUAGGGUUUUUUGAUCUUUUUUCAUUCAACAUCUUACCCUAAAACCUAGAACAGUGCCUAAUGCAUAGCAGAUGCUGAAUAAAUAUUUACUGAAUAAAAGAUAAAACGAUAAGACACAAAUGUAAAAAUUAGAGCAGUGAACUAUCUAGUUAGGUGUAUUUUAGUAUGAAGAGGGAAACUCAGCCAAGCUUCUCCACACUUUGGGGAAGUGAUUGUGAGUACACAUGCCCAGGAAGCCAGGAAUUUUGAGGUUUACUCCGUGAUAGUUCCAAGUCAAUUCAAGGCAGUCGAGUGUAAGCAUUCGUGGGUCCUUACUCUCAUACUGAACCAUGAACUCAGUUUAGCAACUCCAGUGAGGUCUUGCUCUUCCUUCUCCCAUUCAGUUAUAUAAUAUAUACAGAACAUACUUUCUGUUUUGCCUAGUUUCUAUUUGCAUAUACUUUCUGCUUAAAUGUAACUCUUGUCUGCCCUGUACCCCACACAACCACACUCCUGUCUCUGUUCAUCAUAAACUUUUGGCUUCAGUUUCCACUACUGUUUGCUUUUCUCUGUCUACUAUAUGAAGAUUAUAAGAGAUAGUAUCUUCCUUCGCAAAUAUGUUUACAAUUUAGGUAAUUGACCAGACUAAGAACUGACUGUCUUCAGACAAACUCCUAGGACACCGUCUACGACCAUGGCAGUACUGUCCUAUAGCACAGAAUGGUUUCCUGAGGACUACUUGUUUAGUAGAGGCUAUAAACAGGGCAUGGUACUUAGAAAGAGUCAUAGGAAAAUUAUGACAUCAAGACUGUUGUGUUCAGUAAGACCUAAAUGUAUAAAAAAUAUCACAAUUAUUCUAGAAAGCUCACACUUAUGACAACACAUGCUUGAUUGGUCAGUCGCUGAGCACAUUAAGUAAGCAUUUUUAAUCUCCAUAUACUGUUCUAGGCACUAUAUCAUGGUUGCAAACAAACAAGUUCCUUGUUUGUGACACUUAAUGCUGAAGGACAAGAUGGACAAUAAACUAGUAAAUUAAAAGAAAUUCUGAAAGCAAUAAAUGUUAUGUAGAGAAUUAAGGUAUCAGGUACUAUUUUAGAGUAGGAAAGAACAUCCCUCUGAGAUGAGUAUUAAGCUGAGAUGUGCAUGAUAAAAUGUUAUCAGCCAGGUGAGUGUUGAGGGGAUAACAUUGCAGGCCAGUGGAAUACAUUUGGUAAGUUCGAAGAUAAUUGAUAAAAUUUUGGUUGGGGCAUACUGGUUGAGGUGGUGAGUAAUAUGCCAUGAGACCAAAGAGACACUCUGAAGUGAGAAUCUUCAAGCUGUAACCAUCCAAGUGAGAAAAGAGAGUGGCCUAGACUAGGAGGUGUUAGUGGAGAUAGCAAAAGGAAAGGACCUAGGAUUGUUUUAGAAGUUGAGUUGAUAGGACUUGCCUGAUGUGCUGUAUGUGAGUUAUAUGUUAAAAAAAGGACAUGGACACAUAGUAGGGAAAAACACACACUGGGGCUUGUUUGAGGGUGGGGCGUGUGAAGAGAGAGAGGAUCAGGAAGAAUAGUUGGUGGAUGCUGGGCUGAAUACCUGGAUGAUGGGAUGAUCUGUGCAGCAAAUCACCAAGGCGUAUGUUUACCUAAGUAACAAACCAGCACAUCUUGCACAUGUAUCCCUGAACUCAAAAUAAUUGGUUUGAAGAACUGAAUGUAUUGUAAUAUUAUUUAUUGAGUUAGAAAGACUGAAAAGUAUGAAGUUUGGUUGUGUCUAGAUAUUGCUUAUUGAUUCUCAGAAAUUUUACUCUUAAAUUGUCCUCUGUAUUGCAGUGACAGAAAGCCUGGAAUCUACCUUUCUUAGACUCACUUACUAGCAGUUACUGGUUUAGGUUUUGCCAGUGAGAAACUCGUGUGUGAGACUUGGAAGGUGAACAAGAAGAAGAAGCCAUUGAUCUUCAGUGGGAGCUGCAGGCAGCUAUAUGGGCAUUGGAGAUGGCAGGCCCUCCCUACACAGAAAAAAAGAUGGCAAUCAGCAGCUCAAACUCAGAUCCUACUAUGAUGGCAAUGGCAUAAAGAUUGAGCUUUGCUCCUAAUCACUUUUAAGAAGGUCUAAGUAAGACUUCAAGUGACUUAGCUGUGUCCCAUAUGCAGCCUUCAGUCAUUUGCUGUAACUGGCUGAACAGAAUACUCUGACUAGGCCUGACUCACGAGUCUCCCCAGGAAGCACAGAGAGCAGGUAUCCACUUCCCUGCAACUGCAUAGCCUGAAUGGCACUGCUUCCACCGAAUCUCAACCCUGUGAACUAAAUUGCAUGGUGUCCACUUCACCCCAGCCACAAAGACUGAAUACCUUUAUGUCCACCUUACUCCAACCAUAUGGACGGAACAGGAAUCUUAUGAGGUGAACACAUGUUAAGUACUGUCAGUAGAGGAUGCAGGAGAGACAUUGAGAGAGGAUGAAGGAUUCUUCUAAUUCUGUACACCUGCCAAAGUCUCACCUCAGCUGCCUGCCUAGAAAGGCUGCUUCCCAUGACCCUCUCUACCUGAAGACCACAUGUUCUAAUUCUCAUGCAAAAGCCCCAUCCUCACUCCCUCUUUAUACAUUCACUUAUGAACUGUGGCUCUCUGCCACCUCAUUUCCUGCUUGCCCAGCGACCAUGGACCAGCUCUGAUCUGAGUGUCCUAGGAAACUUCUCUGGAGGUUGCAACUACACCUUCUCCAACAAGACCUGAACCCCACCUUGGAAUCCCCACUUCAACCUUGUCCUUCAUUGCAUCAUUUCCCUGAGCCCUAGGCUAACCAGCAGAGUUCUCUUUACAUCCUUAUAUUUACUUCCCUGCCAUAUUUAAUAAUUCUUUACAUUAAAAAGUUCCUGUUCAAAUUACUAUGAUUUCUUUUUCCUGAUUGAAUUUAGAUGGAUAUAUCCUCUUCAUAAUAAAUUCCAUUUCUCUUGGACUAAUUUGAAUGAAUGUCUGUUUCUUUUGAUCACGAAAACUGGCUACAAAUAGGCAGGACACAACAACUGAGUUUCCUCUGUUUGAGAUUCUUGCCCUUGUCCUUUGACUCUCACAGAAUUUUAUGAAAUUGACCUCAGUGCCUACAACUGACUGCACAUGACAAAAUGCAGAACACUUAGAUUUGAUGAACACAAGGCUUGACAUAUUUGUCAAUAGUACCAGGAAUAGUUUUGCAUACUAUAAUAUUUAACAGCCACAGGAGAA
rnacentral:lncRNA from 10 species